rnacentral:lncRNA from 1 species
CCAGCCUGUCCGCCAGACUGUUGUUCCCAGGAGAUGAAACUCAGCUACAAAGUAAAGGUCUGAAAAAGUUACAGAAUGCAGCAACUUCCCGCUACAGCGCCCCAGAUGGUCUCUGCAGGUGCUUUUCCAAGAGAACCCUGGAAAGCACACAGAAGCGUCCUGUCCAGUGACCCCGUGGAAGCUUUGUGAAGGAGACAUGCAGGGCCACCCUGCCACUUCCAGCGGUUCCUGAAAGUAAGCUGGUGUGAGUAGAGACCCAGGCCUCAGAAGAAACCCAGACUCUGAGGCUAGAGUUGUGUGGGAGCUGCAGCCAGUACUACAGCAGAACCAACCUCACCUCCAGAUAAGAAGUGAGAGCACCUUCCGGUGAUGCCAGCCCAUCCCCAGAGUCACCACCGGCCUCCAAGUCUCUCUGUGGAGUUCCCAACCCAUGAGGCAUUGCUCUACUAUGCACCUGUCCAGUCUUCUUGAACCACAAAAGCUUUCAAAUAACAAAAUAGUUUGUAAUUUCCGGUCUCUACAUGUGUGGUGGUUGGGACAGCAUUCAGACAGUGCUUGCCUCUCAUGCAUAGCUGAGACAACGGCUUUGGUGACCUAGGACUCUUGUUCUAACCUAUGUGGGGCCUACAGUCAGAAUGCACAUGGGACAG